UAUCUUCUGUAAUGCUCGUUAUCAUUCUUGUGGUAACUUGAGCCGAUAAGAUAUGAAAUAGGGAGUUUUAAAGAAGCGUUGUUGUGCAAUCCAUUUACGUGGAAAUCCUGAUACGCUAACCAAAACACCCACUUGGACCUCUGGUUCAAGUUCAACGUCUGAGACGACAUGAUGGUUGAUAC
rnacentral:other from 1 species